AACGAACGCUGGCGGCAUGCCUAACACAUGCAAGUCGAACGAGACCUUCGGGUCUAGUGGCGCACGGGUGCGUAACGCGUGGGAACCUGCCCUUAGGUUCGGAAUAACUCCCCGAAAGGGGUGCUAAUACCGGAUAAUGUCUUCGGACCAAAGAUUUAUCGCCUUUGGAUGGGCCCGCGUUGGAUUAGCUAGUUGGUAUGGUAAAAGCCUACCAAGGCGACGAUCCAUAGCUGGUCUGAGAGGAUGAUCAGCCACACUGGGACUGAGACACGGCCCAGACUCCUACGGGAGGCAGCAGUGGGGAAUAUUGGACAGUGGGCGAAAGCCUGAUCCAGCAAUGCCGCGUGAGUGAUGAAGGCCCUAGGGUUGUAAAGCUCGUUUACCCGGGAUGAUAAUGACAGUACCGGGAGAAUAAGCUCCGGCUAACUACGUG
rnacentral:rRNA from 1 species